CACCAUGCACAUUUCACUCGCUGCACCUCGGUACACAGGGAACCAGUCUCUUCUUAUGGCCACCACACUGGACUUGCAGACAAUGGUGUACAUCAAUGGAGCUUGGUUUCAGACCACACCCCACUCUGAAUGGCUCUGCUUACAUCUGAUAUUUGUUUAUAUUAUGCCGAAAUGUUCAAUUCAUUUGCAUGAUGCAAAGAAGUACCUGCAGCGACUCUGACUUUUGAAUACAUGUACAGCCCUAAACAGCACACUAAAUCUUUCUAAGACUGUAAUGCAAUUCAUUUUCUACUGUAGUUAAAACCUAAUAAAUGAAAUAAAUGUAAUUAAAAGUAUUAAAAAGUGUGAACUCUG